rnacentral:rRNA from 1 species
UACGAGGGGUGCAAGCGUUGUCCGGAAUUAUUGGGCGUAAAGAGCUCGUAGGCGGUUUGUUGAGUCUGCUGUGAAAUCCCCGGGCUUAACCUGGGAACUGCGUUUGUAACUGGCAGGCUUGAGUGUGGCAGAGGGGAGUGGAAUUCCACGUGUAGCAGUGAAAUGCGUAGAGAUGUGGAGGAACACCGAUGGCGAAGGCAGCUCCCUGGGCUAACACUGACGCUCAUGCGCGAAAGCGUGGGGAGCAAACAGG